rnacentral:rRNA from 1 species
UGGGGAAUAUUGCACAAUGGGCGCAAGCCUGAUGCAGCCAUGCCGCGUGUGUGAAGAAGGCCUUCGGGUUGUAAAGCACUUUCAGCGAGGAGGAAGGUGGUGAACUUAAUACGUUCAUCAAUUGACGUUACUCGCAGAAGAAGCACCGGCUAACUCCGUGCCAGCAGCCGCGGUAAUACGGAGGGUGCAAGCGUUAAUCGGAAUUACUGGGCGUAAAGCGCACGCAGGCGGUUUGUUAAGUCAGAUGUGAAAUCCCCGGGCUCAACCUGGGAACUGCAUUUGAAACUGGCAAGCUAGAGUCUCGUAGAGGGGGGUAGAAUUCCAGGUGUAGCGGUGAAAUGCGUAGAGAUCUGGAGGAAUACCGGUGGCGAAGGCGGCCCCCUGGACGAAGACUGACGCUCAGGUGCGAAAGCGUGGGGAGCAAACAGAUUAGAUACCCUGGUAGUCACGCUGUAAACGAUGUCGAUUUUGGAGGUUGUGCCCUUGAGGCGUGGCUUCCGGAGCUAACGCGUUAAAUCGACCGCCUGGGGAGUACGGCCGCAAGGUUAAAACUCAAAUGAAUUGACGGGGUCAUAGCUGUUCCU